rnacentral:rRNA from 1 species
AUUGAACGCUGGCGGCAUGCUUUACACAUGCAAGUCGAACGGUAACAGGCCGCAAGGUGCUGACGAGUGGCGAACGGGUGAGUAAUGCAUCGGAACGUGCCCAGUCGUGGGGGAUAACGCAGCGAAAGCUGUGCUAAUACCGCAUACGAUCUAUGGAUGAAAGCGGGGGACCGUAAGGCCUCGCGCGAUUGGAGCGGCCGAUGUCAGAUUAGGUAGUUGGUGGGGUAAAGGCCUACCAAGCCGACGAUCUGUAGCUGGUCUGAGAGGACGACCAGCCACACUGGGACUGAGACACGGCCCAGACUCCUACGGGAGGCAGCAGUGGGGAAUUUUGGACAAUGGGAGCAACCCUGAUCCAGCAAUACCGCGUGCAGGAAGAAGGCCUUCGGGUUGUAAACUGCUUUUGUACGGAACGAAACGGUCUGGGUUAAUACCCUGGGCUAAUGACGGUACCGUAAGAAUAAGCACCGGCUAACUACGUGCCAGCCGCCGCAGUAA